GUGCCAGCAGCCGCGGUAAUACGAAGGGCCCGAGCGUUGCGCGGAAUCACUGGGCUUAAAGCGUGCGUAGGCGGACAAGAAGGCGCUUUGUGAAAUCCCCCGGCUCAACCGGGGAAUUGCUUGGCGAACCGCUUGUCUUGAGGCAAGUAGGGGCUGUCGGAACGAUAGGUGGAGCGGUGAAAUGCGUUGAUAUCUAUCGGAACGCCCAAGGCGAAGGCAGGCAGCUGGGCUUGUUCUGACGCUGAGGCACGAAAGCGUGGGGAGCGAACGGGAUUAGAAACCCCUGUAGUCC
rnacentral:rRNA from 1 species